AAAAAUCUUACUAUUAUAUUUGUAUCAAAAUUUGUAUAAGUGUUUUAUAACUUAUGCAGCCUCUCUGCUCGAAGGGGUGUAGCAUUGGAAACAAUGGUACUACGAAUUGUAGCAAGGUGCGAAACGACCUUUAACAGUUUUGGUGGUGUCCUGAGUGGGUACUUUGUAGAUGGUAAACAUAGAAAGUAAGCUAUGCCAUUAGUUGCUGGGCAGGACUAGCAACAGCAAGCGAAUUAGCUUGAUAUAAAGUAAGC
rnacentral:ncRNA from 1 species